AGUGAACGCUGGCGGUAGGCCUAACACAUGCAAGUCGAACGGCAGCACAGUAAGAGCUUGCUCUUACGGGUGGCGAGUGGCGGACGGGUGAGGAAUACAUCGGAAUCUACUUUUUCGUGGGGGAUAACGUAGGGAAACUUACGCUAAUACCGCAUACGACCUACGGGUGAAAGCAGGGGAUCUUCGGACCUUGCGCGAUUGAAUGAGCCGAUGUCGGAUUAGCUAGUUGGCGGGGUAAAGGCCCACCAAGGCGACGAUCCGUAGCUGGUCUGAGAGGAUGAUCAGCCACACUGGAACUGAGACACGGUCCAGACUCCUACGGGAGGCAGCAGUGGGGGAUAUUAGACAAUGGGCGCAAGCCUGAUCCAGCCAUACCGCGUGGGUGAAGAAGGCCUUCGGGUUGUAAAGCCCUUUUGUUGGGAAAGAAAAGCAGCAGGUUAAUACCCCGCUGUUCUGACGGUACCCAAAGAAUAAGCACCGGCUAACUUCGUG
rnacentral:rRNA from 1 species